ensembl:lincRNA
AUGUUGGCUCCCUCGCCAGCACAGUCCCAGCCUGGAGCUGCCCAAGUUCCUCAGGAUCUGAGCACCAAGGGUGGAGUCAAACCACAGGCAAUGGCCUGCCCGCCAGGCUACAGCUGGGGAGAUCCACCCCAGGCCACAGUGCAGGGCAAGCAGGUUCACGCAGGCCUGGUACAGUGUCUAUGGACAUGCCUGCGGUGUGCAGCCACUCUCUGGACACUAGGAACUGAGCAGACUGAGGAUGGCAAGGCCCCCAUCAUAAACCAAGCACAAAAUCAGGCAGACCUAGGCUUCUCAAGUCCUAGGCCCAUGCAAUUGAGCUGUGCUCCAGAACCUGAUUUACAGUCACAAGCAGCUACCUCUUCAGUCCAUCCAGUCCAUCCCGCUGUCCAUCCCCAGUCCAUCCCGCUGUCCAUCAUCCACAGUCCAUCCCGCCGUCCAUCCCCAGUCCAUCCCGCUGUCCAUCAUCCAACGUCCAUCCCGCUGUCCCUCCCCAGUCCAUCCCGCUGUCCAUCAUCCACAGUCCAUCCCGCCGUCCAUCCCCAGUCCAUCCCGCUGUCCAUCAUCCAACGUCCAUCCCGCUGUCCCUCCCCAGUCCAUCCCGCUGUCCAUCAUCCACAGUCCAUCCCGCCGUCCAUCCCCAGUCCAUCCCGCUGUCCAUCAUCCAACGUCCAUCCCGCUGUCCCUCCCCAGUCCAUCCCGCUGUCCAUCAUCCACAGUCCAUCCCGCCGUCCAUCCCCAGUCCAUCCCGCUGUCCAUCAUCCAACGUCCAUCCCGCUGUCCCUCCCCAGUCCAUCCCGCUGUCCAUCAUCCACAGUCCAUCCCGCCGUCCAUCCCCAGUCCAUCCCGCUGUCCAUCAUCCAACGUCCAUCCCGCUGUCCCUCCCCAGUCCAUCCCGCUGUCCAUCAUCCACAGUCCAUCCCGCCGUCCAUCCCCAGUCCAUCCCGCUGUCCAUCAUCCAACGUCCAUCCCGCUGUCCCUCCCCAGUCCAUCCCGCUGUCCAUCAUCCACAGUCCAUCCCGCCGUCCAUCCCCAGUCCAUCCCGCUGUCCAUCAUCCAACGUCCAUCCCGCUGUCCCUCCCCAGUCCAUCCCGCUGUCCAUCAUCCACAGUCCAUCCCGCCGUCCAUCCCCAGUCCAUCCCGCUGUCCAUCAUCCAACGUCCAUCCCGCUGUCCCUCCCCAGUCCAUCCCGCUGUCCAUCAUCCACAGUCCAUCCCGCCGUCCAUCCCCAGUCCAUCCCGCUGUCCAUCAUCCAACGUCCAUCCCGCUGUCCCUCCCCAGUCCAUCCCGCUGUCCAUCAUCCACAGUCCAUCCCGCCGUCCAUCCCCAGUCCAUCCCGCUGUCCAUCAUCCAACGUCCAUCCCGCUGUCCCUCCCCAGUCCAUCCCGCUGUCCAUCAUCCACAGUCCAUCCCGCCGUCCAUCCCCAGUCCAUCCCGCUGUCCAUCAUCCAACGUCCAUCCCGCUGUCCCUCCCCAGUCCAUCCCGCUGUCCAUCAUCCACAGUCCAUCCCGCCGUCCAUCCCCAGUCCAUCCCGCUGUCCAUCAUCCAACGUCCAUCCCGCUGUCCCUCCCCAGUCCAUCCCGCUGUCCAUCAUCCACAGUCCAUCCCGCCGUCCAUCCCCAGUCCAUCCCGCUGUCCAUCAUCCAACGUCCAUCCCGCUGUCCCUCCCCAGUCCAUCCCGCUGUCCAUCAUCCACAGUCCAUCCCGCCGUCCAUCCCCAGUCCAUCCCGCUGUCCAUCAUCUACAGGCCAUCCCGCUGUCCAUCCCCAGUCCAUCCCGCUGUCCAUCCACAGUCCAUCCCGCUGUCCAUCAUCUACAGUCCAUCCCGCUGUCCAUCCACAGUCCAUCCCGCUGUCCAUCCACAGUCCAUCCCGCUGUCCAUCCACAGUCCAUCCUGCUGUCCAUCCUAUAGUCCAUUUGUCUUCCCAUCAGCUGGCUUAACAUCUAAGCAGAAGGAAAACCUAGGUGGGACAGGGAAGUUUGGCUCAGUACUGGGUCAAGGUUCAGGCCAGCAGAGGGUAGCAUGGAUUCAAGGGAGACACUUGGGGCACAGAUGCCAUGAAGGACUGGAGAUGGCUGAGCUGAUCCCACAAGGACAUCUGGGAAGGGUCAGAGAAGCGAUCCAGGAGGAGCCCAGUGGGGUCUGAGUGGAAGUCAUGGAAGCUUGGACACUUUGGAACAGCAACACCCCAUCCACCAAGCCCAUGGCAGCAGGCACCCUAUCACUCUAGUCACUUGGACUGAUCCCAUUCUCGACUGCAAGGAAACAAAGCUCCUCAGGGACAGCUGAGGUCGGAGGAGAACAGGAUGACUCUGGAAGUCAAGAAAGUGCUCCAAGUGUGGCGCAGGCAUGUGGAAAGUAACAGGGCUGGCCCAUGGGAGCCACCAUCCAAACCCAAGCAAUCUGGUCAUCCGAAUAAAUAGUGACAGCAAUGGACCACUGUAGCUGGAAAGACUACACCCAGGAAGGGCACUGAGGUCAGAAUAUCAACACAGGGUGGGUGUGUGCAGAGAGGAAGAGGCCCCCACAGCUCCACAGCGCUUCUAUACCAAGGUUCCAAACUACUGAGGGGCAGGUGAAAAGGGCUGUGAAUCACCUCCACCUGAGGGAACACAGAUGACCGGUGACAAAUCAAAGCCUCAACCCUCUUCACUGGAGGGGUGUACACAGCUUGUCCUGGAGGCCCUACCGAAAAUGCCCUGCUGGAAUCCAGUCAGCAGGAAAACCAGUGAAGCCCAGUCCAGGCACCCCACAGGGAUGGGUGAGAACACACGUCAAGUUCAUGAGGCAGGCAGGGAUGCACAACACAGGGCAAGACCAGAAGACCAAGGAGUGGUGGUGCACGCCUUUAGUCUCAGCACUCAGGAGGCUGAGGCAGGCAGAUCUUUGUGAGUUUGAGACCAGCCUGGUCUACAGAGUGAGUGCCAGAGACAGCCUCCAAAACCACAGAGAAACCCUGUCUCAAAAAAAAAAAAAAAAAAAAAAAAAAGGCUGCUUUUGGCUGGGCAGUGGUGGUUCACACCUUUAAUCCCAGCACUCAGGAGGCAGAGGUGGGUGGAUCAAGGCCAGUCUGGUCUACAGACUGAGUUCCAGGCUAGCCAGGAACUCUGUGUAGCCAGGGCUACACAGAGAAAUCCUGUCUCAAAAAAACAAAAAAACAGUUUGCUUCUGUGAUGCCAGGAGGUCUGGGAGGGGCAGCUGGCACAUGCUCAAAACCUUUGGGCAUAGUUCUGGCCAAGAUCUCUACCAUGGGAUACCUUCCAGCCUAGACACAGGUUGUAAGUCCCUAUCAAUGAGAGGGAGAAAGCAGGCUGGGCUUUGUCUUUAGGCAGAGGGUGGAUUCCUUCACCACAGUAAGCCUAGGUCAGAAGUGAGCCCUAUACUCCUUCCUUUGCUCCAGGUGCCCUUGAGGCCAGGACUUUGCACAGAUGACUCUGCCAGGCCUGGGCCACCCAAGAGCAGGGUAUGGUACUCUAGGAGGGCCAGGGGGGCAUGGUGUAGCUGGGCAGUUGCUAGGAGUCUAUCUCUCGGGAUCACACCCCGUGACUAAAGCCACAGCACGGCUUGGCAUCGACAACACCCACACUAGAUGUGCCCCACCCCCAACUCCCAUGUACUCUCAAUGCAUUCAUUCAAUGAAUGGGCAACAGUCUUGCCAGCAUUCAUAGAGCAAACAUGGUGCCCAGCAUCUGACUGGAGUCCCAAGGGUCCCC